GACGAACGCUGGCGGCGUGCUUAACACAUGCAAGUCGAACGGAAAGGCCCUGCUUUUGUGGGGUGCUCGAGUGGCGAACGGGUGAGUAACACGUGAGUAACCUGCCCUUGACUUUGGGAUAACUUCAGGAAACUGGGGCUAAUACCGGAUAGGAGCUCCUGCUGCAUGGUGGGGGUUGGAAAGUUUCGGCGGUUGGGGAUGGACUCGCGGCUUAUCAGCUUGUUGGUGGGGUAGUGGCUUACCAAGGCUUUGACGGGUAGCCGGCCUGAGAGGGUGACCGGCCACAUUGGGACUGAGAGACGGCCCAGACGCCAACGGGAGGCAGCAGUGGGGAAUAUUGCACAAUGGGCGGAAGCCUGAUGCAGCAACGCCGCGUGCGGGAUGACGGCCUUCGGGUUGUAAACCGCUUUCGCCUGUGACGAAGCGUGAGUGACGGUAAUGGGUAAAGAAGCACCGGCUAACUACGUG
rnacentral:rRNA from 1 species